rnacentral:tRNA from 1 species
AUUCUUAUAGCUUAUGAAGAGUAUAGCAUUGAAGAUGCUAAGGAGAUUAAUAAAAUCUAAGAAUA